AACGGAUCUUGCCGAGAAUGCAAGCCUCAUUCCAAGGAAGCCAGAGCUCAGAAGACAUGGAACAAAUACAAUGAAAACAUAACUUGAGGUCGGAAAAUGUCCCCUGAAUAUUUAUGUCAAUGUCCUACCUUAGUGAAUAUUACUUAAUACUGUGGCUCCUUUAAAGCAUUGUGAUUUCAUUAUGAAGUCAGAUGGAAUGAGGAGUGUGUAAAUCCAGAAUCAGAAUCCCAGCGACGAAGCUUUUCUUGCUCUGUUACCUUGGAAAAUGCUUUGAACCAGACCAGAUAAGAAAAGUAAAAGUCUGGAGUGUAAUCCUUCCAAUUGUCUUUUGGCUUCUCUUCUACUUCUACAAAAAGUUCAACAAGUCGGUGGGCAGAAGUCUAAAAUCAAGGUGUCAGCAGUGUGGAAUCCUUCUGGAGGCUUUGAGGUACUCGACUGUGGUUCAAUCUCCAGACCUAGAACAGGAAUAGAAGCAAAGGGAUUUUCAAUAUAAAUAUUAGUUGAAUGAAGAGGACACUGAAGCCAAAGGAGAAAAUUAACUAGCUCAGUCUUGCAUGACCCCUGUGAAUGGACUGAUCUUGAAACCCAG
rnacentral:lncRNA from 1 species